rnacentral:ncRNA from 1 species
AAUUGAAAAAGGCAAAUUCAUCGAAAGGUGGAGACGCAAAGCUAAAGGGACUAAAGUCAGAUGACCAUGUCAGCCAGUUACCGAU